rnacentral:lncRNA from 1 species
GAAUUCACUAUAAUCCCGCGGAUUACAGUUGGAUUGUUUUCCGGGCUCACAAUCCAAAAACCUUUGUUGGUUUUACGGGCUCACCAACGAACCUAUACACUUUGGUUUUCCGGGUUCACCAAAAACCUUUGUUGGUUUUGCGGGCUCACCAACGAACCUAUACACUUGGUUUUUCGGGUUCACCAAAAACCUUUGUUGGUUUUGCGGGCUCACCAACGAACCUUUACAAAGUGUUUAACACAUAAAAAGAAAAGAUUCAAACUCCUAAAUGAGCAUAUAAAACAAUAUGAACUACAAAGAAGAGUUAGAAAGUAUUUAUCGCUUUGAAGUCGCUUUGCUCUUCUUUGUCAAGGAUGCUUCACUCUUCAAGGGAGGAUGGAGCUCUUGAUGCCUCUUUGAAUCUGCUCAAUCCCUUUCCUUGAUUCUUGAAUGAAGCUCUUGAUGAAGCUUGCUUUGCUAGGGUUCUCUCUUGAAUGCACUUGAUGUAUUUUCCCA